GAAGUCAUUUGAAAAGCGCCUUCAAAUGUGUUGUACUCUCUCUCUCUCUCUAAACCCUCAAAUCUCUCACCAAGUUAUUUGAAUAUGAGAAACCCUAGAGUCUCAGAGAAACUCAAAUUUCUCACUCUCUCUCUCAACCCUUCAGCUCCUUGAACUCGAUUUAACCUUCUUCACCUCGGUGAUUCAUCAUUCGGUUAAUCCAAUCUCAGAAUGAUUUUGAUUUCGAAGCUCCACCGCUACCGCCACCACCAUCUGCAUCUGCAUCUGCAUCGUCUACUAACCAUCUGCACAAUUUCGAUUUCAAUCCAAUCUCAGCUCUCAAAUGAUCCAAUCUUUGAUCGGCAGUGACGGGAAAAAUAAACUCCUGUGAGAAAAGAAACCCUAACUUUCUCAUUGGAGGAUCAUAUUCACAACUAGCGGAAGACUACUCUAAUCCUAACAUCCAUUCUGUUUCUGGCAGCUGGAAUAUGGUUUAUAGGGAUCUUUAUAAGAUUUUCACAAAGCCGUUGAGCAUCCCAAUCUUUAUAAGAUAUAUUCCAGGAAGCUGGUCUCCCUCUCUGGUUGCGCCCUUAUGAAGUACUAGUUACUUCUUACACAGCACUCAUUGAAACGAUUCCUGAUACAGCUUCACUUCACUCUAUGGUAUUAUAAUGAUAAAGCAUAUUAACACAAUUUGCAACACGUUCAACAAGAAUAUAAUUAGAACAAAAUUUUCACAGGAGCAGAAAUGAAGUCAACUUUCCAGAACAACGCGGAAAUGAAAGGUGAAAGUUUAGACAAGAACCAAUUGUUAAAGAAAACCAUCCUCCCAAAUCCAGGUUUUAAACCGGAGUGGCCUGGAGUGUCUUGACCUUGAAACAGUGUACAUAAAAUCUUUUUGUUAGUGUUUCUUCAAGUUUUAAGUACUGUGCAUAAGUAUUAGGUACAAAUUCUUCAAUUUAUGUUUAUUUUGAUGAAUCUGAUUGCAGUUUUUGUUCUGAUAUAGUCAUGUAGACCAGUGAAGACUAACAAUGAACUCUCUCAUCAAUUUGAAUUUAACUCAUCCAAGCUUGAAAUUUA